rnacentral:rRNA from 1 species
UGCUUGCACUCAAUUGGAAAGAGGAGUGGCGGACGGGUGAGUAACACGUGGGUAACCUACCCAUCAGAGGGGGAUAACACUUGGAAACAGGUGCUAAUACCGCAUAACAGUUUAUGCCGCAUGGCAUAAGAGUGAAAGGCGCUUUCGGGUGUCGCUGAUGGAUGGACCCGCGGUGCAUUAGCUAGUUGGUGAGGUAACGGCUCACCAAGGCCACGAUGCAUAGCCGACCUGAGAGGGUGAUCGGCCACACUGGGACUGAGACACGGCCCAGACUCCUACGGGAGGCAGCAGUAGGGAAUCUUCGGCAAUGGACGAAAGUCUGACCGAGCAACGCCGCGUGAGUGAAGAAGGUUUUCGGAUCGUAAAACUCUGUUGUUAGAGAAGAACAAGGACGUUAGUAACUGAACGUCCCCUGACGGUAUCUAACCAGAAAGCCACGGCUAACUACGUGCCAGCAGCCGCGGUAAUACGUAGGGGGCUAGCGUUAUCCGGAAUUACUGGGCGUAAAGGGUGCGUAGGCGGUCUUUCAAGCCAGAAGUGAAAGGCUACGGCUCAACCGUAGUAAGCUUUUGGAACUGUAGGACUUGAGUGCAGGAGAGGAGAGUGGAAUUCCUAGUGUAGCGGUGAAAUGCGUAGAUAUUAGGAGGAACACCAGUAGCGAAGGCGGCUCUCUGGAC